rnacentral:lncRNA from 1 species
UACAGUGCUACUGGCCCAUAAUCAGGCAACUGCAGAGUCUUAGGGGGUUAUCUAAUGUAGUCUUGGGGUGGCUGGAUAGACUUCCCAAAGAAGGUGAUGCCGAAGCUGAGGUCGGAAAUUACGAAGAUCAGCUAUCAAACUUGGAAAUCAUGUCUUAGAGAUCAAGGAGCCAAGAGAUGAGACAAGCCUGGGUUCCUAGGUGAUAGGGUGUGGCUGUGUCCCCACCCAAAUCUCGUCUUGAAUUGUAGCUCCCAUAAUCCCCACAUGUUGUGGAGGGACCCUGUGGAAGGUAAUUGAAUUAUGGAGGAAGGCCUGAGGAGAGAAGACACAUAGUCAUGCUGACUAAACCAGAUCACCUAGAAUUACCAAAUGGAAAGAUUGUGCCUGCAGCCUGGCCUGUUGCCCACAGCGGUCUACCUGCCACACUGGGAAAGAUCGAGCAGAGACAGAGAAGAAAAGGAGGCUCCAUUUUUCAGGCUGCUCUCCCGCAGGCUCAUGUUUUGUGUUCAUGCCAGGCAGAGAACACAAAAUGUUCCAAUAAAUAAGUAUCAAAGGUUAGUGGUGAAAAUGAAGGAGGAGGAGGCAUUGCGUGAAAAACUAAACAUGCAAAAUAUUACACACAAAGAGAACCAAAAUGCAGGUUCACUGGAAAUGAUAGACAAUAUGUUAAAACAAGAGGAGAGAAGAGAGCUGAAAUAAUCAAAUGGAAACACACAAUUUAGGGCUAAGAUCUUGUUGUGUUCAGCCACAAAUGAUGGCCAGCAGUGAGGAAUCUGUGUGUUCUCCACACUCUUCGCUCCUGGGAAGUCAACUCACAUGGACCAUGAUAUCAAUAUCUGCUCCUUCCCCUAAUAUCUGUUUGACCUUGGGUCAGUUACUUAAACUUCCUAAGCCUUAGUUUCUUUGUCUGGAAAAUAGGGAUAGUUAUACCUACCACACAACCACUUUGUAAUGAAUAUGUUGGAAAUUAUAUGCAAAUUGGCUUCCGUUGGUGUUUGGAACAUAGUAGGUUUUUAACUGGAAUAUAAUAGCUACCAUUAUCAGUAUCAUCAUAUUAAUUUAUAUUUCCAUCUUCAGCCCUUAACCCAGGAUCUUCAGUAAAUGUUGAAUUCUCAAAUUUGUUAAAUUCACUUGUCUAUACUAAUAUUUUACUCUAGGUUUCUUAGAAUAUUCUAGAUAAUAUUAUUAUGUAGAAUAUGUUAUGUAAGCUUCAUCUUAUCUGUAAAUAUAGUUUUACUUUUUCCUUUCUAAUUUUUAUGUCGAUUACUUCUUUUUCUUGGCUUAUUGAAUUGGCUAGGAUUCCCGUACAGUGUUGAAUACGUGCAGCAAGACUGCACAUCUUGCCUUGUUCCUGGUCCCACAGAGAGAAUAUCCAGUACUUCACAAUAAGUAUGUGUUAAUUGUAGAUUUUAUUAGAUUGAGGAAGUUCCCUUUCCUUUCAAGUCAGUCUUUUUAUUUUAAACAUGUAUUGAAGUUUUGUCAAAUGUCUUCAUCUAUUGGAAUAAUUAUACAUAUCUCUUUUUUAUUCUGUUAAUAUUACAUUUCAAUCUUCUGUCUACCUAAAAUCCCUAGAAUAAUCUCCAUUUGGCUAUGAUGUGUUGUGCUUUUAUAUAUUACUGAAUUCUAUAUGCCAAUAUUAUUAAAAUUUUCUGUCUUUAUGAGAAAUA